GCCAUUAGUCGGUGCAAUUUUUCGGUUUCCGCCAGUGGUCUUCGUUUUUCCUUUUAAUUAAUGAUCUUAGUUCGCGAAGAAAAUGUAAUUAUAUGCAAUUGUGUUCAACUUUCGAUCGUGUUCUUACGAUUUUGUGUUCGAUCGCUGAACAUGCGACAUAUUUUGUUGUGAUUUGGUGUUUGGUUUGGUGUUACGAGUACUUACAAUAAGGAACCGAAGUCAUCGCCAUCGUAAGUUCGUUCUGACUGUUUGCUGAAUUGCUGUGUAGUUAUUGUUCUGUUGAUGAAGACGUAUCCAUCGGUCAGCAACCGGAAUGAUUUGUUUGUGGAAAUCAUCGAUCGUCCGACUUCGAGCCAUCAUCGCUACCUGCUUCUCAUGUACCCUACCUACUUGAGACUUCCCGGAAGUGAAAAGCUAAUCGUUUUUUGAAAUUGUGUUGUGUGCCUCAUGUAGGAUCGUGCGUUUUUCCUCAUGAAGGUUGAGGUUCGAUGCCGUCUGUACGACCGUGCUUUUUUCAAAGGUUUUGUAAUUCGAUCUCAUUAUGAGGACCGUGUUCCUCAUGAAGGCUAAAGUUCGGUAGUGUUGUGCGCCGUAUGUAAUUCUGGAAUUUUCAUUUGUGUGUAAUACGCGUAUUCGAUGAUUUCGAUGCGUUGUCGUUUAUUCGUGAUUCAGUAAAUUUGGCUUUUCAAUAAAGCGGGAAGUCAUGCCAGAACUCGGAAGACCUCAGGAAUACGAACAUCCCCGAAGCAGGUCUUCUGGAAUAAUCCCAUCAAAAGGAAGAGCAAAAGAAGACUCGAGAAGAAACUCAUCGAUAUACCCGAGGCUUAUCCGCAGUAAAUUCCACGCCACAGCAGAUCAUGAUUAGAUGUACGACACUUCGACGAAUUUGUGGGUUUCAUUUUCUGUCGGUUGAUUCAAAAGGAAGCAAAUAAGAAUGACAGAAUUAAGCUGCAGUGAAUAGGUAAGAAAAAAUAAUAAUAUUUUAUUGAUAAGCAUAAAUGCUUAUAGUAUAAUAGGUACCAGAAUUGCACAUGCCUUUCUUAUUUCAUUCAUUAUUUCGUCAUUUUCAAAAAGAUACUCUUUUAAAUAAAUGAAUAAGUAAAUAAAUAAGUAAAUGAAAAAUAUUUAAAGAAGCUAUAUGGUAGGUAGGCGAAGAAUCGAGGAAUUUUAAAUGUAAUUUUAAUAUGCAUUCUUUGCAUCUGCUGGUGAAUUUUUUUUUACUGAUCAGGCAUGAUUUUACAACCAAAAAAGCUUUUUGAUUUUAAUUGAAAACUAGGUGGAACUGUAUAAUUCAGAUAAUUUUGUGAUAAAAAAGACAUUUUUUGUCAAAAUUGUUUUUUUAUUUUUUUGAAAAAAUUCUAGUAUCGACUGAUGUUUGUGAAUUUCUUAUCAUACGAGUACUUAUGCUGUACCUAGUUACUUUUCAGUUUUCAUUGUAAUGCAAAGUGCAAAAAUGCUUUCGUUUUUUACUUCAAAACUUUGAAAUUUAAUUAAAUUUUGUGACUUCUUCAGAAUGUUUUUCUCAUUAAUUGAAUUUGAAAAAAAAGAGGAAAAACUAUUAAUUUUUUGUAUAGAAAUAACA